CCUACGGGUGGCAGCAGUGGGGAAUAUUGCACAAUGGGGGAAACCCUGAUGCAGCAACGCCGCGUGAAGGAAGAAGGUUUUCGGAUUGUAAACUUCUUUUCUUAGGGAAGAAAAUGACGGUACCUAACGAAGAAGCACCCGCUAACUACGUGCCAGCAGCCGCGGUAAUACGGGGGGGGCAAGCGUUAUUCGGAUUUACUGGGUGUAAAGGGAGCGUAGGCGGGAGUGCAAGUCAGCUGUGAAAGACACGGGCUUAACCUUCGGACUGCAGUUGAAACUGUAUGUCUGGAGUGAAGGAGAGGUAGGUGGAAUUCCGAGUGUAGCGGUGAAAUGCGUAGAGAUUAGGAGGAACACCAGUGGCGAAGGCGGCCUACUGGACUGUAACUGACGCUGAGGCGCGAAAGCGUGGGGAGCAAACAGGAUUAGAUACCCCAGUAGUC
rnacentral:rRNA from 1 species